rnacentral:rRNA from 1 species
UGGCGGACGGGUGAGUAACGCGUGAGUAACCUGCCUUACUGAGGGGGAUAACGUCUGGAAACGGACGCUAAUACCGCAUGAUAUUUCAGCAUCACAUGGUGCAGAAAUCAAAGGAGCAAUGCGCUGUAAGAUGGACUCGCGUCCGAUUAGCUAGAUGGUGAGAUAACAGCCCACCAUGGCGACGAUCGGUAGCCGGACUGAGAGGUUGAACGGCCACAUUGGGACUGAGACACGGCCCAGACACCUACGGGAGGCAGCAGUGGGGGAUAUUGCACAAUGGAGGAAACUCUGAUGCAGCAACGCCGCGUGAAGGAAGACGGUCUUCGGAUUGUAAACUUUUGUACUUGGGGACGAUAAUGACGGUACCCAAGCAGCAAGCUCCGGCUAACUACGUGCCAGCAGCCGCGGUAAU